rnacentral:rRNA from 1 species
GCCUAAUACAUGCAAGUCGAGCGGACGAAUCGAAAGCUUGCUUUUGAUUCGUUAGCGGCGGACGGGUGAGUAACACGUGGGCAACCUGCCCUGUAGACGGGGAUAACACCGAGAAAUCGGUGCUAAUACCGGAUAACACGAAAUGUCGCAUGACGUUUCGUUGAAAGACGGCGUAAGCUGUCGCUACAGGAUGGGCCCGCGGCGCAUUAGCUAGUUGGUGAGGUAACGGCUCACCAAGGCGACGAUGCGUAGCCGACCUGAGAGGGUGAUCGGCCACACUGGGACUGAGACACGGCCCAGACUCCUACGGGAGGCAGCAGUAGGGAAUCUUCCGCAAUGGACGAAAGUCUGACGGAGCAACGCCGCGUGAGCGAAGAAGGCCUUCGGGUCGUAAAGCUCUGUUGUUAGGGAAGAACAAGUAACGCAGUAACUGGCGUUACCGUGACGGUACCUAACGAGAAAGCCACGGCUAACUACGUGCCAGCAGCCGCGGUAAUACGUAGGUGGCAAGCGUUGUCCGGAAUUAUUGGGCGUAAAGCGCGCGCAGGCGGUUCCUUAAGUCUGAUGUGAAAGCCCACGGCUCAACCGUGGAGGGUCAUUGGAAACUGGGGGACUUGAGUGCAGAAGAGGAGAGCGGAAUUCCACGUGUAGCGGUGAAAUGCGUAGAGAUGUGGAGGAACACCAGUGGCGAAGGCGGCUC